rnacentral:rRNA from 1 species
AGCAAUUGACAUUAGCGACAGAAGAAGCACCGGCUAACUCCGUGCCAGCAGCCGCGGUAAUACGGAGGGUGCGAGCGUUAAUCGGAAUUACUGGGCGUAAAGGGCACGCAGGCGGUUAAUUAAGUUGGAUGUGAAAUCCCCGGGCUUAACCUGGGAAUGGCAUUCAAGACUGGUUAGCUAGAGUCUUGUAGAGGGGGGCAGAAUUCCAUGUGUAGCGGUGAAAUGCGUAGAGAUGUGGAGGAAUACCGGUGGCGAAGGCGGCCCCCUGGACAAAGACUGACGCUCAUGUGCGAAAGCGUGGCGAGCAAACAGGAUUAGAUACCCUGGUAGUCCACGCUGUAAACGAUGUCGAUUUGGAGGGCGAGCAAACAGGAUUAGAUACCCUGGUAGUCCACGCUGUAAACGAUGUCGAUUUGGAGGGGCCGCAAGGUUAAAACUCAAAUGAAUUGACGGGGGCCCGCACAAGCGGUGGAGCAUGUGGUUUAAUUCGAUGCAACGCGAAGAACCUUACCUACUCUUGACAUCCAGCGAAUCCUUUAGAGAUAGAGGAGUGCCUUCGGGAGCGCUGAGACAGGUGCUGCAUGGCUGUCGUCAGCUCGUGUUGUGAAAUGUUGGGUUAAGUCCCGCAACGAGCGCAACCCUUAUCCUUUGUUGCCAGCGAGUAGAGUCGGGAACUCAAAGGAGACUGCCGGUGAUAAACCGGAGGAAGGUGGGGAUGACGUCAAGUCAUCAUGGCCCUUACGAGUAGGGCUACACACGUGCUACAAUGGCGUAUACAGAGAGAGGCGAGCCAGCGAUGGGGAGCGGAACUCAAUCGCUAGUAAUCGCGGAUCAGCAUGUCGCGGUGAAUACGUUCCCGGGCCUUGUACACACCGCCCGUCACACCAUGGGAGUGGGUUGCAAAAGAAGUAGGUAGCUUAACCUUUUGGAUGGCGCUUACCACUUUGUGAUUCAUGACUGGGGUGAAGUCGUAACAAGGUAACCGUAGGGGAACCUGCGGUUGGAUCACCUCCUUA